UUGAGGUCUCAAUAAAAAGCACGCGUUUUUAUUUAAUUUAAUUCCAGUCCGGAAGGAGAACACCUCCGGAGUCCGCCGGAGUCCGCACAGAAUAAUUUCCCUCCUCCUACCUUGUCUCGCUAACGGGCAAAGUUUUUUCUCUGCAUCGCCUUAAAACCUAAUUGAUUCUUGUACCGGCGGCAAUGGCGGCCGGGGCCGAAGACAGCAUUAAGAAGCUGGAGUAUUUCUCGAUCGUUUCGAAGGUGCGAACAGAGCUUGAAAGCCAUCUGGGGUGCGGCGAUAAAAUUCUGGCCGACUUCAUCACCGAACUUGGCCGGAACGCCAAAUCCGUCGAAGAAUUCGACGCCAAGGUGAAAGAAAGCGGAGGGGAAAUUCCCAAUUACUUACUUCGAACCCUUCUGGCCAUCAUACAUUCAAUAUUACCCUCGAAUAAGAAAUAUGCGGCCUUCCGUGUCGACGACCGCCAACGCUUCAAGGAUGAGAUCGAGAAGGAAGUUCGCGACCGUGAGUACAGGUACGAUCAAGUCAGUGAUAGAGGUAGGAGUAUUAGAAUAGAUGAUUACAGCAACCAUAGAGCUUAUAGUCACGAACGUGAUGAUGGCACGAGGCAUGAGAGAACCCGUUCUAGUGGUGGAAGGAAUUUUGAUGAACCGGAGCUCUAUCAGGUUUACAAGGGAAAGGUAUUGCGCCUGAUGGACAACGGGUGCUUUGUUGAAUUAUCUGAUUUCAGCGGGAAGGAGGGACUUGUUCAUGUUUCACAGAUUGCAAAUAGAAGAGUCGCCAAUGCAAAUGAACAGGUGAAGCUUGGUCAGGAUGUAUAUGUUAAGGUGAUCUCAGUUUCUGGCAAAAAUCUUAGUCUAACCAUGAGGGAUGUGGAUCAAAACACCGGGAAGGAUCUCCUGCGAUUAAGGAAGAGCACAGAGGAUGAUGCUUUAAGGACCAACCCCUCUAGUGGGAACAGUACCCCUAUUGUAAGGAAAGGUCUUUCAGGCAUUACCAUUGUUGAGGAUGAUAAUAAUGCAUCAUCCAGGAGACCAUUGAAAAGGAUGAGCUCGCCUGAGAAGUGGGAAGAGAAGCAGCUGAUUGCAGCUGGUGUUCUGGAUGUGCGUGAAUAUCCAACGUUUGAUGAAGAGGGGGAUGGACUCUUGUAUCAGGAAAAACGUGCUGAAGAAGAACUUGAGAUUGAACUCAAUGAAGCCGAACCUGCUUUUUUGCAAGGCCAGAGUCGGUUUUCCAUUGACAUGUCUCCUGUAAAGAUCUUCAAAAAUCCAGAGGGUUCUUUAAGCAGGGAAGCGGCUCUUCAGUCUGCUCUCAUCAAGGAGCGGAGAGAAGUUCGUGAUCAGCAGCAGAGAACUAUGCUUGAUUCCAUCCCAAAAGAUCUCAAUCGACCGUGGGAAGAUCCAAUGCCGGAGACAGGGGAGAGGCACCUUGCACAGGAGCUGAGAGGUGUAGGAUUGUCUGCUUAUGACAUGCCAGAAUGGAAGAAAGAUGCAUAUGGGAAAGCUUUGACAUUUGGCCAGAGAUCAAAGCUUUCAAUACAAGAUCAAAGGCAGAGUCUUCCAAUCUACAAAUUGAAGAAAGAACUGAUUCAGUCUGUUCAUGAUAACCAGGUAUUGGUUGUCAUUGGUGAGACUGGCUCUGGGAAGACAACGCAGGUGACUCAAUACCUGGCCGAGGCAGGUUAUACUACAAGAGGAAAGAUUGGGUGCACACAACCCCGUAGGGUGGCAACAACGUCGGUUGCAAAAAGGGUGGCUGAGGAGUUUGGUUGUCGGUUAGGUGAGGAAGUUGGUUAUUCUAUUCGGUUUGAGGAUUGCACUGGGCCAGAAACUGUGAUAAAAUAUAUGACAGAGGGCAUGCUUCUGAGGGAAAUUUUGGUUGAUGAAAACCUUUCACAAUAUUCUGUUAUCAUGCUCGAUGAAGCUCAUGAGAGGACAAUCAACACAGACGUGCUCUUUGGUUUUCUAAAACAACUUGUGAAACGAAGGCCUGAACUUCGGUUUAUUGUCACUUCAGCCACACUAGAUGCAGAGAAGUUCUCUGGGUAUUUCUUCAACUGCAAUAUCUUCACAAUUCCUGGCAGAACAUUUCCUGUUGAGAUACUCUAUACAAAGCAGCCAGAAAGUGAUUAUCUAGAUGCAUCACUGAUCACAGUUUUGCAGAUUCACUUAACAGAACCUGAAGGAGACAUUCUUGUUUUCUUGACUGGUCAAGAAGAGAUUGAUCAUGCUUGUCAAUCUCUUUAUGAGAGAAUGAAAGGUCUGGGUAAGAAUGUGCCGGAACUGAUUAUCUUGCCUGUGUAUAGUGCUCUUCCCAGUGAAAUGCAAUCUAGGAUUUUUGAGCCUGCUCCCCUUGGUAAGAGAAAAGUUGUUGUAGCUACUAAUAUUGCGGAGGCUUCAUUGACAAUUGAUGGAAUAUUUUAUGUCAUUGACCCUGGCUUUGCUAAGCAAAAUGUGUACAACCCUAAACAAGGGCUUGAUUCCUUGGUGAUCACUCCUAUAUCUCAAGCAUCAGCUAAGCAAAGAGCUGGUCGUGCAGGACGUACUGGCCCAGGGAAGUGUUAUCGUCUCUACACAGAGAAUGCCUAUCGCAAUGAAAUGUCACCUUCCACAAUUCCAGAAAUUCAGAGGAUUAAUCUUGGGACAACAGCAUUGAAUAUGAAGGCUAUGGGAAUUAAUGAUCUCUUACAUUUUGAUUUUAUGGAUCCUCCAUCGCCUCAGGCCCUUAUAUCUGCCAUGGAACGGUUGUACAGUCUAGGAGCUUUAGAUGAAGAGGGGCUUUUAACUAAAGUAGGGAGAAAAAUGGCAGAGUUUCCAUUGGAUCCACCAUUGUCUAAGAUGCUACUUGCUAGUGUGGACCUUGGAUGCAGUGAUGAAAUCCUGACCAUCAUUGCUAUGAUCCAGACUGGGAAUAUUUUCUACAGACCAAGGGAGAAGCAAGCCCAAGCAGAUCAAAAGCGAGCCAAGUUUUUCCAGCCAGAAGGAGACCACUUAACUUUGCUUGCUGUUUAUGAGGCUUGGAAAGCUAAGAAUUUUUCUGGUCCAUGGUGUUUUGAGAACUUCAUACAGUCCCGUUCUCUUAGGACGGCUCAGGAUGUUAGAAAGCAACUCCUCACUAUUAUGGAUAGGUACAAAUUGGAUGUUGUCAGUACUGGUAAAAACUUCACAAAGAUAAGGAAGGCUAUUACCGCCGGAUUCUUCUUUCAUGCUGCAAGAAAAGAUCCUCAAGAAGGUUACAGAACCCUAGUGGAGAACCAACCAGUCUACAUUCAUCCCAGCAGUGCUCUCUUUCAAAGGCAGCCAGAUUGGGUCAUAUAUCAUGAGCUUGUCAUGACAACAAAGGAGUACAUGCGCGAAGUUACUGUUAUUGAUCCCAAAUGGCUUGUAGAACUCGCACCUAGGUUUUAUAAAUCGUCAGAUCCAACAAAGAUGAGCAAGCGAAAGCGUCAAGAGCGAAUUGAGCCACUCUAUGACAGAUACAAUGAACCCAAUUCAUGGCGUUUGAGCAAGCGCCGUGCUUGACUUUUUUGAAUUGUUGAUGGAAGUGUUUUCAAUAUUCACUUUUAGUGUGGAAUUUCACUGAUGCUUGGUAGUUGGAAGUAAUUGGAGCAAGUUCCGGGACCAAGUUGCAAUGUUUCUUUGGUUGAAGAAUGAAAUUUAGUUACUAUGUUCGUGAAUUUCCUUUGGAAAGAUUACAGGUUGUUUCAAAUGUCAAAAAAUUUAAAUAUUGUGGAAUUGAUCCUGACUUGGAAGAAAAGCUUGUUGUAUUUGCUGUCCUAUGGUACAGAUUUCAAUUUUAUCAACUGAGCUUGGAUUGAAAUGUCAGAGCUUGGCUUUUGCUUCAUCAAUUGUCGGCACAAUUAGGUACAUGCAAAUUUUACAACUUUUGAAAACAAAGUAACAACUUCUGAGGCACGAGAUGGUGAAGAUGUCGAGGAGAUGAUACAAUUAAGGGAGCAAAUAGUACUAAAAAGCUGUUUUAGAAAGCAACAAGAAAGCUGCUCUAAACAAAGCCUUAGUGUUAAAUCUUAAAAAGCUGUUUUUUAGUAUACAUGACCUUGUAGUGUUAUGUUUUUUUAUGUUUGUGCUUCCCUGGAAGUGAAGGGAUGAAAUGGACAUGUAAGAUUACACAGACUUGGGUAG